AACGCACAUUGCGCCCUUUGGUAUUCCGAGGGGCACGCCUGUUCGAGCGUCAUUUAAACCAUCAAGCCCAGCUUGGUCUUGGACGCGGUCAAGUGACCCGUCCGUAACCCGUUGGCGGUGCAGUCCGGCUUCAAGCGUAGCAAAAAUUUCGCUUCAGGAGUCCGCGGCGGUGCCCGCCAGGUAACAACAUCCCAAAGUUUGACCUCGGAUCAGGUGAGGAUACCCGCUGAACUUAA
rnacentral:misc_RNA from 1 species